rnacentral:piRNA from 1 species
UAAUUGUUUCAUCAAGCUUUU